GGCCAGACUCCUACGGGAGGCAGCAGUGGGGAAUAUUGCACAAUGGGGGAAACCCUGAUGCAGCGAUGCCGCGUGGAGGAAGAAGGUUUUCGGAUUGUAAACUCCUUUUAUCAGGGACGAUAAUGACGGUACCCGAAGAAAAAGCAUCGGCUAACUCCGUGCCAGCAGCCGCGGUAAUACGGAGGAUGCGAGCGUUAUCCGGAUUUAUUGGGUUUAAAGGGUGCGCAGGCGGAGGUGCAAGUCAGCGGUCAAAUUGCGGGGCUCAACCCCGUACUGCCGUUGAAACUGGCUUGCUAGAGUGGGCGAGAAGUAUGCGGAAUGCGUGGUGUAGCGGUGAAAUGCAUAGAUAUCACGCAGAACUCCGAUUGCGAAGGCAGCGUACCGGCUCCACACUGACGCUGAGGCACGAAAGCGUGGGUAUCGAACAGGAUUAGAUACCCCAGUA
rnacentral:rRNA from 1 species